UACAGAGGGUGCAAGCGUUGUUCGGAAUUAUUGGGCGUAAAGGGCGCGUAGGCGGUGCGGUAAGUCUGUAGUGAAAUCUCUGGGCUCAACUCAGAGUCUGCUAUAGAAACUGCCGUGCUUGAGUGUGGGAGAGGUGAGUGGAAUUCCCGGUGUAGCGGUGAAAUGCGCAGAUAUCGGGAAGAACACCCGUGGCGAAGGCGGCACUCUGGGACGGUACUGACGCUGAGACGCGAAAGCGUGGGGAGCGAACAGG
rnacentral:rRNA from 1 species